rnacentral:sRNA from 1 species
GCCAGGCAUGGUGGCGCAUGCCUGAAAUCCCAGCAUCUCCAGAGGCUGAGGCAGGAGGAUAGCAAGUUCAAAGUCAGCUUCAGCAACUUAGUGUGAACCUGUCUCAA